AGCCAGUAGAAACCACCCCUGGCACCUUCUGACCAUCUGCAGUUACCUCGUAGAUUCCGAUUAAAUGACAGCGUCUGAGCUGCAAAAUUAAGCUUCCUUUGAAAAAGUGAGUAAGAGGAAGAAAGAACCCAGUUAGAGGGAAAACGAGGGCUCAUGCAAGAACUGGUGAGGCACAGAGAAGGGACUGAAGGAUUAAAGAUGACCUCCUCUGAGGACACGCUCCUCUUCCCCUGGACGACUGUCGCGCUGCCCUGGCUGAUGCAGAAGCAAGUCACAAGGCUGAGGUCAUGCAGCACCAGGCAUGAAGACUUCAUCCAACCAUCUAUCACCUUGUGCCAUUGAUAGUCAUGAAGAAAGAUCAGCUAAUAGCCCACAAGUAGUACAGACUUCAAGAGAGGGAGUCGAGUGUGCUGUUGGCAAAGCAGGGUGUCUUCUGCUGAGCCCUACAAGGAAUUAGGAAAACAACCCUGGCAACCUGAGGUUGAAAUGUUUCAAACACAAGGGCAGAUUGUGGCCAUGAGAAGGUAUACUUUACCUCCAGAAUAUGGAAUGAGAAACUAAAAACAUUUUACUCAGCAAUGCAAGAGAACAUUCAAAGGUUAAGAAACAGUAACAGCAAUGACAGCAAGAAUAAGAACAAGAGCAAACAAUUCUUCGUCCUCGAAGGCAUGAGGUCAGAGCACACUUUUCCUGCUGCUCAGAUGAGGACAUUCCAGCAUGGGAAGAUGAAAUAACUUCUCAAGGUCAUAUGCCUAGUCAUGCUUUACUCCAGGAGAGUCUGAGAAAUGAAACACAGACUGCUCAUCCUUCAUCAUAACUGAUGUCAAACAAAUCAACCUACAACAUCCUUCAGAGUGGAGACUGAAAAUACCAUGUGAUUAGUCUGUCACAGAUUAAUAAAAACUUGAACAAUUGCCUUGUCACACGUUAAUCACUUAUAAAUAGUUUGAGGAUAGUAAGAUUUCCAUUCAUUCACUCAAUAAAUGAGAAGUUACUAUAGUUCAGGCAUGAAGCCAGGCCUUGGGGAUGUAACAUGGUACAAGUUCCAGUUCUUGCCUUCAAGGGAAGGCCUAUAAGGGAGACUGGGAGAUCAAAAGGCAAGUAAGUGCUCUGUAUUCUGUGCAGGCAGGAGAGGAAGGGAUUUAACCAGUGAAGUGGGAAGAAGGCAUCACAGUUGUGGGGGGUAUUGUAUGCUGAGGACAAAAAGGAAGGAAGAGCAUGGUGCGUGGCGGGAUAUCAGGUGGGCAGGAUGGCUGGACUGUUAACUCAAGGGAUCACAGAGCCAGAAGUCAGCUGGGAGUCUGGUUAGCUAUGAGAAGUGAGAAGCCAUCCAAUGGCUUCACUCAGGGGAGUAAUGUCAUCAGAUUUAUAUUACAGAAAAAUUUCCCCAGCUAUUCCAUAGAGGCAACAUCAAAACAAAGUUCUGAUUCUGUCUUUGAAGAACUUUACUUCUUUGUUUUUCACAUAUUUUUGUGUCCAUACCAGGCAUGACAAAUACUCACCAGAAAAUUAAAAACAGAAAAAAAAGCAGAUUCUUGGCUUUAUCGUGAAUAUAACAGGACCCUGGGAUCAGAUAGAAGUUGGAUUUCUGUGUAUAUUUGGACAAUUGGGUAUAAAUUGCCUUAGGUCAAGUGCUUCUUCCUGAAGGACAUCUCUUUAAGCCGCCUUCCAAGGCAUUCUUACCACAGUUGAAGACGUUUUUCUGAAAUAACAAAAACAUUCCAGUGACUGCUCUGUGUCACAUCAAAGUUGUGAGACACAUACAUACAAAAAUGAUGAUAGGCUCAUACAAAGACCUGUGUGAAAAAUGAGAUCAAAGCACAGUGGCAGUUGUCUUUACCAUUGCUGUCUUCAGGCCCAACCCUGCACUCUAUGACCUGACUGGAGAAGACCUUCAUGCCAAGUGGACAUGCCUGCUGAACAACCUACAAUAACUUCCUGAUUUCUGAAGCAAUAUUCAGCUGGUAAUUCAUUGCAUGACAUUGUUUCACAUCUUUCUAUGCCUCUUCUCCCUCUUUUCCUUACUCUCACUGCCCUGGGCUUGCAUCUCCCAAGUAAAGUUUUACUACCUUAAUCUUUGCCCUGGACUCUGUUUUAUAGGAAACUAGGCUAAACAGCCAUUCGCCAUCGUGUGCUUCACGGAAGUGGAGUAUGAAUCUUUGCUAUAGGAUGGAAUGCCCCUCCCAAGUCAAUCUCUUCCCGGUCUUAGGAUACUCAUCCUCUCCAAUAGGUUCUUUUUUCUCUAUUCAAGUAUCAAUAUCAGCCUUUUUUUUUUUUUUAGCAUAUCUUUUUUUUUGUCUUAAUCCUUUAUUUUUAAUUUAAAAAAAUUUUUAUUUUUAAACAUUUUUUAUUGAGUUAUAGUCAUUUUACAAUGUUGUGUCAAAUUCCAGUGUAGAGCACAAUCUCUCAGCCAUACAUGAACAUACAUACAUUCAUUGUCACAUUCUCUUUCGUUAUGAGCCACCACAAGAUCCUGUAUAUAUUUCCCUGUGCUACACAGUACAAUCUUGUUUAUCUGUUCUACAUUCUGAAAUCUCAGUCCCUUCCCACCCCCCUCAGCCUUUCUUAAUGAAUUCAGAUUUCCAAACAAAACCUGGAUGAAGAAUUGCCUUCAGAUGGCUUCACAACAUCUGUUUUCACCCCUGAACACCAAAGUCAUAAGGUACUUUCUGUGUUAGGGAAUACCAGCUCGGAUCUCAAGCUUGGCUAUUGUCUAAAAUGGGGAUGGGAAAAAAUACUUUUUUCUUAUAUCUCUGAGAAUACAGUGGAAAAUAAUUUCUCACUUGAUUAUCUUGCCACACUAGCAGCUCUCUGUUUCAGCACUCGGCAUAGACAUCCAAGCAACUGAAAAAAUAAAGGAGACUCAUUAAAAUCUAAUGGAAUGAUUCAAAAGUGCCAGAGGUUUUCUCUAGCUUCCUGGAAAUUUAAGAUUUGUGCUUUCUCUAUGGACACUGAACUUUAA